rnacentral:rRNA from 1 species
CGGUCUUCGGACCGAGUGGCGCACGGGUGAGUAACACGUAACUGACCUACCCAGAAGUCAUGAAUAACUGGCCGAAAGGUCAGCUAAUACGUGAUGUGGUGAUUUGCCGUGGCAAAUCACUAAAGAUUUAUCGCUUCUGGAUGGGGUUGCGUUCCAUCAGCUGGUUGGUGGGGUAAAGGCCUACCAAGGCGACGACGGAUAGCCGGCCUGAGAGGGUGGCCGGCCACAGGGGCACUGAGACACGGGUCCCACUCCUACGGGAGGCAGCAGUUAGGAAUCUUCCACAAUGGGCGCAAGCCUGAUGGAGCGACGCCGCGUGAGGGAUGAAGGUUUUCGGAUCGUAAACCUCUGAAUCUGGGACGAAAGAGCCUUUA